UACUCUUUGGCAGGGAAAAGAGAGAUAUCCUUUUUUUUAUUCUAAAGUCUACUGACUUAGUUUAGUUUUCUCGUUUCCACAGGGAAGUUAGGGAAAGUGGCAGAGACGGUAGCUGACCACCGAGGAGCUGUCUUCCCUCCCAGGCUGAAGGAGUUAAGCGUCUGAUGUGCUUCCCAUCUUUCUACCUCUGGUAGCCGCCGUAGGGCCACAUGGCGAAGACGGCAGAGCUAAAGAACUUAGUUCCCUGUGUUCCCCACUUGGAAGGGAACCACCAGGUAACAUCCACAUUAGCCCUCAGUUUCCACAUCUCAAGGGCAGAGUUGGGAAGGAAGUCAAGGCCGCAGAUACCGAGGUCACCCUUGGUUUCCUAAGGUCUACAGGUGUGGAGGAGGAACAUCUGGCCAGGAAGCCAGGCUGCUGGGCUCCCCGGAGGGAGGGCUCUCAGCCAGGCCAUCAGGAAAGAGGAAGCUCCUCAGCAGUGGUCUGGCCAACGCUCAGACUCUUCAAGUUUGCAGAGCGGUGAACUGCUUCAUACAUCCGCCCUGGCGAGAGCCUUCCCGAAGGGGGAUCACAUCCUUCAUGAGACUCAGUGCCGGACCCACUGGCAGGGACAACGCAUCCCCCUCCGAAAGAGGGGCACCUGGGGCUCGGUGGUGGAGCAUCUGCCUUGGGCUCAGGCCGUGACCUCAGGGUCCCAGGAUCCAGUCCCACCUCAGGCUCCCUGCAUGGAGCC